rnacentral:rRNA from 1 species
GGGUUGUGAGGUUAAGCGACUAAGCGUACACGGUGGAUGCCCGGCAGUCAGAGGCGAUGAAGGGCGUGCUAAUCUGCGAUAAGCGCCGGUAAGGUGAUAUGAACCGUUAUAACCGGCGAUACCCGAAUGGGGAAACCCAGUGUGAUUCGUCACACUAUCAUUAACUGAAUCCAUAGGUUAAUGAGGCGAACCGGGGAACUGAAACAUCUAAGUACCCCGAGGAAAAGAAAUCAACCGAGAUUCCCCAGUAGCGGCGAGCGAACGGGGAGGAGCCCAGAGCCUGAAUCAGCAUGUGUGUUAGUGGAAGCGUCUGGAAAGGCGCGCGAUACAGGGUGACAGCCCCGUACACAAAAGCGCAUGUGCUGUGAGCUCGAUGAGUAGGGCGGGACACGUGGUAUCCUGUCUGAAUAUGGGGGGACCAUCCUCCAAGGCUAAAUACUCCUGACUGACCGAUAGUGAACCAGUACCGUGAGGGAAAGGCGAAAAGAACCCCGGCGAGGGGAGUGAAAAAGAACCUGAAACCGUGUACGUACAAGCAGUGGGAGCACAGGUUUACCUGUGUGACUGCGUACCUUUUGUAUAAUGGGUCAGCGACUUAUAUUCUGUAGCAAGGUUAACCGUAUAGGGGAGCCGCAGGGAAACCGAGUCUUAAUUGGGCGUUAAGUUGCAGGGUAUAGACCCGAAACCCGGUGAUCUAGCCAUGGGCAGGUUGAAGGUUGGGUAACACUAACUGGAGGACCGAACCGACUAAUGUUGAAAAAUUAGCGGAUGACCUGUGGCUGGGGUGAAAGGCCAAUCAAACCGGGAGAUAGCUGGUUCUCCCCGAAAGCUAUUUAGGUAGCGCCUCGUGAAUUCAUCUCCGGGGUAGAGCACUGUUUCGGCUAGGGGGCCAUCCCGGCUUACCAACCCGAUGCAAACUGCGAAUACCGGAGAAUGUUAUCACGGGAGACACACGGCGGGUGCUAACGUCCGUCGUGAAGAGGGAAACAACCCAGACCGCCAGCUAAGGUCCCAAAGUCAUGGUUAAGUGGGAAACGAUGUGGGAAGGCCCAGACAGCCGGAUGUUGGCUUAGAAGCAGCCAUCAUUUAAAGAAAGCGUAAUAGCUCACUGGUCGAGUCGGCCUGCGCGGAAGAUGUAACGGGGCUAAACCAUGCACCGAAGCUGCGGCAGCGACACUGUGUGUUGUUGGGUAGGGGAGCGUUCUGUAAGCCUGCGAAGGUGGCCUGUGAGGGUUGCUGGAGGUAUCAGAAGUGCGAAUGCUGACAUAAGUAACGAUAAAGCGGGUGAAAAGCCCGCUCGCCGGAAGACCAAGGGUUCCUGUCCAACGUUAAUCGGGGCAGGGUGAGUCGACCCUAAGGCGAGGCCGAAAGGCGUAGUCGAUGGGAAACGGGUUAAUAUUCCCGUACUUGGUGUUACUGCGAAGGGGGGACGGAGAAGGCUAUGUUGGCCGGGCGACGGUUGUCCCGGUUUAAGCGUGUAGGUGUGUGUUCGGGUAAAUCCGGUUCACUUUAACACUGAGGCGUGACGACGAGGCACUACGGUGCUGAAGCAACAAAUGCCCUGCUUCCGGAAAAGCCUCUAAGCAUCAGGUAACAUCAAAUCGUACCCCAAACCGACACAGGUGGUCAGGUAGAGAAUACCAAGGCGCUUGAGAGAACUCGGGUGAAGGAACUAGGCAAAAUGGUGCCGUAACUUCGGGAGAAGGCACGCUGACACGUAGGUGAAGUGAUUUACUCACGGAGCUGAAGUCAGUCGAAGAUACCAGCUGGCUGCAACUGUUUAUUAAAAACACAGCACUGUGCAAACACGAAAGUGGACGUAUACGGUGUGACGCCUGCCCGGUGCCGGAAGGUUAAUUGAUGGGGUCAGCGCAAGCGAAGCUCCUGAUCGAAGCCCCGGUAAACGGCGGCCGUAACUAUAACGGUCCUAAGGUAGCGAAAUUCCUUGUCGGGUAAGUUCCGACCUGCACGAAUGGCGUAAUGAUGGCCAGGCUGUCUCCACCCGAGACUCAGUGAAAUUGAACUCGCUGUGAAGAUGCAGUGUACCCGCGGCAAGACGGAAAGACCCCGUGAACCUUUACUAUAGCUUGACACUGAACAUUGAGCCUUGAUGUGUAGGAUAGGUGGGAGGCUUUGAAGUGUGGACGCCAGUCUGCAUGGAGCCGACCUUGAAAUACCACCCUUUAAUGUUUGAUGUUCUAACGUGGACCCGUAAUCCGGGUUGCGGACAGUGUCUGGUGGGUAGUUUGACUGGGGCGGUCUCCUCCUAAAGAGUAACGGAGGAGCACGAAGGUUGGCUAAUCCUGGUCGGACAUCAGGAGGUUAGUGCAAUGGCAUAAGCCAGCUUGACUGCGAGCGUGACGGCGCGAGCAGGUGCGAAAGCAGGUCAUAGUGAUCCGGUGGUUCUGAAUGGAAGGGCCAUCGCUCAACGGAUAAAAGGUACUCCGGGGAUAACAGGCUGAUACCGCCCAAGAGUUCAUAUCGACGGCGGUGUUUGGCACCUCGAUGUCGGCUCAUCACAUCCUGGGGCUGAAGUAGGUCCCAAGGGUAUGGCUGUUCGCCAUUUAAAGUGGUACGCGAGCUGGGUUUAGAACGUCGUGAGACAGUUCGGUCCCUAUCUGCCGUGGGCGCUGGAGAACUGAGGGGGGCUGCUCCUAGUACGAGAGGACCGGAGUGGACGCAUCACUGGUGUUCGGGUUGUCAUGCCAAUGGCACUGCCCGGUAGCUAAAUGCGGAAGAGAUAAGUGCUGAAAGCAUCUAAGCACGAAACUUGCCCCGAGAUGAGUUCUCCCUGAGACUUAGAGUCUCCUGAAGGAACGUUGAAGACGACGACGUUGAUAGGCCGGGUGUGUAAGCGCAGCGAUGCGUUGAGCUAACCGGUACUAAUGAACCGUGAGGCUUAACCUUACAACGCCGAAG